CACGUACAUCUCCAGAUAGCGGGUACACCCACACCCCUACACGUACAUCUCCGGACAGCGGGUACAACCACACACACACACACAAACACACAAACACACACAAACACACCUACACGUACAUCUCCAGAUAGCGGGUACCUUUGAUGUGUGCCAGUGUGUCCUGGGAUAGCUGAGAGCUGAUUGGCUAUGGGAUUUGUCUAUCCCUGAAAAGAGUGAAAGGAACUGCCUCCUUGUUUUCAUCUCUCCGGUCUGAUGGGAAGCUUCUCCAGUAACACUCAAGUUUGCCACAGCAACAUAUUCUCACACCAACUAUGAGUCGACAUGGAAACACCGUCUCUGUAAUACGAUAGCACACAGCACAAUUUUAACGGUUUUGCUCAGCAUUAACUCUAGAUUCACACUGCAAAUGGCAUUUAGAAGCUUGAAAUGAUGAUAUUUAUUGCCAGAGUAUUGCUAAGACGUUCUUAGAAUAUAAUCUAAGCUCUUUAUACCUUCACUAAGCCCCCACAAAAAUCCAUGUAUAUAUAAAACACUCUGUCAAUGGACGAUUUAACUUUCCCACUUCUCUUCUGAGACUGUUGAAUGGACAGACUGUGGUGUUGGAGAAAGAGAUUCUUAACAAACCUGCCAAGGAGAAUGGAGUACAUGGACUACGUGGACAGACUAGUGAAUUAUUUCUAUCUCUCUUUCUGUCUCUCUGGCCUUGGGCUAGACCAGAAACGCAUACUCUUUAAGCGUAGGAGAGUGACUGCUCUGCGUCGGCAGAACUGAGUUUGAAUUCUCCACCUCGUCUCGUUCUCAUCUCGAGGCUGAGGUGGGCGUUGUGCAUGUGAGACAGUGUGGAAUCCGUCCUCCUGGCUCUGCUUUUUAUUUCUUCUUUUUUGGUUCACUUUCAGAUUUUUUUAUUCCUUUUUUUUUUUUUUUUUAUUUGUGUACUCAUAUUUUCAUUGUAUUCUUAUGCUAGACAUUGUAGAGCUCUUUGUUCCACUCCAAUGGCAUUUGUGUUUCUCUCUCUCUCUCUCUCUCUGCUUGCUGUAUGAUAGUGUAUUCUAGUUGUAAGCCAAACUGUCGUGUCAAAGAUUGUUCUAUAUUAAAAUUAUUAUUUUUUAAGAAAAAUACAUUUAUUGUGAAUAAAGUACAAGACCAUGGUGAUGUUUGUGUUUGAAUUUUGACCUAGGUUUCAAACCCCAAACGUCGCAGGUGUGAGACAAACGUGCUAACCACUGAGCCACCACGCCUGUCAUCUUGCUCUCAAUGACUAAAAAUGUAUACAAAUUAAAUUAGGUGGACCACCCUAUUUAAUGAAACGUUAUCUAGAU
ensembl:lncRNA